GUGAGGAAUAUUGCGCAAUGGGCGAAAGCCUGACGCAGCAACGCCGCGUGUAGGAUGAAAUCCUUCGGGAUGUAAACUACUGUUAGAGGGGAAGAAAUCCCGGUUACGCCGGGAGUGACGGUACCCUCAGAGAAAGCCACGGCUAACUCUGUGCCAGCAGCCGCGGUAAUACAGGGGUGGCAAGCGUUGUCCGGAAUUACUGGGUGUAAAGGGUGCGUAGGCGGGUCGGUAAGUCAGUGGUCAAAUCCUAUAGCUUAACUAUAGACUAUCCAUUGAUACUGCUGAUCUUGAGUGCGAGAGAGAUGAGUGGAAUUCCAAGUGUAGCGGUGAAAUGCGUAGAGAUUUGGAAGAACACCAGUAGCGAAGGCGGCUCAUUAGCUCGUAACUGACGCUGAGGCACGAAAGCAUGGGUAGCAAACAGGAUUAGAAACCCCUGUAGUCC
rnacentral:rRNA from 1 species